rfam:Oryzias latipes DNA, chromosome4, strain: Hd-rR.
GCUCCGUCAUCCCAGUGUUCAGACUACCUGUUCAGAAUCUUCCUGGUGUACAGUAGUCUGCACAUUGGUUAGACUGUGCA